rnacentral:rRNA from 1 species
CGUGUAGGCGGCCUCCUAAGUCUGAUGUGAAAGCCCGGGGCUUACCCCCGGAAGGGCAUUGGAAACUGGGAGACUCGAGUACCGGAGAGGAAGGUGGAAUUCCUGGUGUAGCGGUGAAAUGCGUAGAUAUCAGGAGGAACACCGGUGGCGAAGGCGGCCUUCUGGACGGAUACUGACGCUGAGACGCGAAAGCGUGGGGAGCAAACAGGAUUAGAUACCCUGGUAGUCCACGCCGUAAACGAUGGGCACUAGGUGUUCGGGGUAUUGACCCCCUGAGUGCCGCAGCUAACGCAUUAAGUGCCCCGCCUGGGGACUACGGCCGCAAGGUUAA